rnacentral:rRNA from 1 species
AUUGAACGCUGGCGGCAGGCCUAACACAUGCAAGUCGAACGAGUGGCGGACGGGUGAGUAAUGUCUGGGAAACUGCCUGAUGGAGGGGGAUAACUACUGGAAACGGUAGCUAAUACCGCAUACCAUCAGAUGUGCCCAGGUGGGUUUAGCUAGUUGGUGUGGUAACGGCUCACCAAGGCGACGAGCCCUAGCUGGUCUGAGAGGAUGAACAGCCACACUGGAACUGAGACACGGUCCAGACUCCUACGGGAGGCAGCAGGGGGGAAUAUUGCCCAAUGGGCGCAAGCCUGAUGCAGCCAUGCCGCGUGUAUGAAGAAGGCCUUCGGGUUGUAAAGUUCUUUCGGCGGGGAGGCGUUAUCCGAAGAAGAAGCACCGGCUAACUCCGUGCCAGCAGCCGCGGUAAUUC